rnacentral:rRNA from 1 species
GACGUAGGGCGCGAGCGUUGUCCGGAUUUAUUGGGCGUAAAGAGCUCGUAGGCGGCUUGUCGCGUCGAUCGUGAAAACUCACAGCUCAACUGUGAGCUUGCGGUCGAUACGGGCAGGCUCGAGUUCGGUAGGGGAGACUGGAAUUCCUGGUGUAGCGGUGAAAUGCGCAGAUAUCAGGAGGAACACCGGUGGCGAAGGCGGGUCUCUGGGCCGAUACUGACGCUGAGGAGCGAAAGCGUGGGGAGCGAACAGG